rnacentral:misc_RNA from 1 species
GAUGAAGAACGCAGCGAAAUGCGAUACGUAAUGUGAAUUGCAGAAUUCAGUGAAUCAUCGAGUCUUUGAACGCACAUUGCGCCCGCCAGCACUCUGGCGGGCAUGCCUGUCCGAGCGUCAUUUCAACCCUCAGGGCCCCUUCGGGGGACCUGGCGUUGGGGAUCGGCCCGCCCCCGUGCGGCGCCGUCCCCGAAAUAUAGUGGCGGUCUCGCUGCAGCCUCCCCUGCGUAGUAGCACACCUCGCACUGGAGAGCGGCGCGGCCACGCCGUGAAACCCCCAACUUCUGAAUGUUGACCUCGGAUCAGGUAGGAAUACCCGCUGAACUUAAGCAUAUCAAUAAGCGGAGGA